GUUUCCAUAGUGUAGUGGUUAUCAUGUUCCCUUAACACACGAAAGGUCCCCGGUUCAAAACCGGGUGGAAGCA